CGAGCACCCGGGCCUGCACUCUUGAUAUAAAUACCCGGUGAUGACCGACUUAUUGCGGGCGACCGGGCGACGAAUCCACCGUUGGGACAGCACUGCCGGUGUCAGGCCGUAGCUGGAAGGUCAGGAGCUGAGGAGAAUAUGAAGGGCUCCCAUCAUGCUGCUGAGUGCCCCUCCUCUCCUGGCCGUACGCUGAGGGCAGGUGGAGGCAGGGACAAGGGUCAGGAGCAAGGGCAGAAUGAUUUUUUGCUUUCUCAGUCUUCCUAGAAAGAAAGAAAAAAAAAAAAUCUAAAAUCUUUAAGAUAUGUGUGGGAUCUGUUGAGUCACGGCCUGAACCACGGAUUGAUCACCUGUGGAAAGGACCCAGUCAGCCCUGAGAGCACAGGUGAAAGCAAUUCAUGUGUGCGAAUGGAAGGAGGGGAGCCUGGCUGCAGCUCUCUUAGAUCUCAUUUAAGGGCUGACUGCUGCUGGGGAGGAUCUUUGCCUGGUGAGCCCUCCUUGGUGAAGCUUCUUCCUGUGAAUCUGGAAUUUUCUGGUGGAUUUGCCACAAGGUUUCUUACAAUGACUAACAGUAGAAGGAAAUGUGCUCUGAAGGGGUGUGCUUGCAAGUCGGCUCAAGAGAAAUGAAAAUCGUUGUAGCGGGGACCCUGCCUGGGAGCAGAGCAUUACCAAAUACGUUACUAUGCAAAGAAUCUCAUGUUGAAUAAUUUAGAAAUACCUUUUUGUUAGUGGUCAAGUAAAACAUGGCAACAGAGGGUAAUCUCAGGAAAAAGAGGGGAUAAAAACAUCUCUAUCAAGCCCAGACUUGAUGGGAAAGGAAGAGCUGAAC
ensembl:lncRNA